AACGAACGCUGGCGGCAGGCUUAACACAUGCAAGUCGAACGGGCGUAGCAAUACGUCAGUGGCAGACGGGUGAGGAACGCGUGGGAAUAUCCCCUUCAGUUCGGAAUAACUCAGGGAAACUUGAGCUAAUACCGGAUACGUCAGAGAUGAGAAAGAUUUAUCGCUGAAGGAUUAGCCCGCGUCUGAUUAGCUAGUUGGUGAGGUAAUGGCUCACCAAGGCUACGAUCAGUAGCUGAUCUGAGAGGAUGAUCAGCCACAUUGGGACUGAGACACGGCCCAAACUCCUACGGGAGGCAGCAGUGGGGAAUAUUGGACAAUGGGCGCAAGCCUGAUCCAGCCAUGCCGCGUGAGUGAUGAAGGCCUUCGGGUUGUAAAGCUCUUUUGUCCGGGAAGAUAAUGACUGUACCGGAAGAAUAAGCCCCGGCAAACCUCGUGCCAGCAGCCGCGGUAA
rnacentral:rRNA from 1 species